UCUGAGUUCCCCUAGAACGUCAUUUUGGCUCAAAGUAUCCCCAAGUAUCUUAAGGGUAUAAAGGUGACUGAGAAUACAUGACACAAACGAUUCAUUAUCAUCGUUAUUGCAUAGCAUUUCCUACACGUUAAAAACAUGCUAAAAACUGAAUAGCAACAUGCUAAUUGCUGAAUCAGGAUUAUAUGCCAUCAGGCAUGAUCAAGGUAUGAUAAUUGGAGAUAAUCAUUCAACGGGAUAACAUUUGGGUUGGAGCCUAAUCUGUUGCCUAAUCCUCUUCAAGGAAAAGGAAUCCCAGUCGCAUACAUUGUCUUCAGAGCUAUAGGGGCCACCACAGUAAUCAUCCGUGCAUAGUAAAGGGGACCUUUCGCCGUGCCUCACUAGUCUGCACUCUCUAUUGAACCUGAUCCCUUUCUCCCUCAGUCUCCCCCACGUCUCCGAACGCCACCAAGGUGGUGGUCACCGCCAGCGUCCUGUUAGCGGCCGCCUUCGCCUUCAUCGCCUUCAUGGUGUACAAGCGCUACAAGAUGUACCAGCCCGUGGACCGGACGGCCGCGGGGGGCCACAUGGGCCGUCUGAGGCAGACCUUCUUCCCCACCAACGAGGAGCGUUACCACCUGCUGACCGACAGGCACCCCCUGUAGUCCCUCGCCCACUCGCUCCGUGUGUCCUCUGAUUCAGCCACAGCCACUCGGGAGCUCUGUGUGUCUCAAUGGAGCCACUACGUGUGGCAAGUUAGUUACAUAACAGGCACGGAGGUUAUCAGAUUGGAGGAUUGUUUUUUUGUAUGGAUAUACUCAUUUGACUUCCUUGUUUAUAUGGUGGAUUAUUCUGAAUGCGGCUUUGAAUGUUUUGGACUGAAGUAUUUGAGUGCAGUGUGUGUGAAGCAGCUAAAGAUGCAUUUAGUUUAUCCUACCCUAGAUUUGCAUUGAGUGGCGAUAAAACAAGAGAUAGGGAUGUUUAAGCACUAUAAAGAUUGUGAAGUUCAUUUAUUUCAACCUUGCAUAUAGAAACAUUUUAAGGGGUGAAAUUUAGCCACCAGUUGUGGACCACUGAGGUCACUAAAACACGGGACGAUUUUCAUGGCUCUUCACUCACCUGGUGGUGUAACAUCACCCCUAUAAAGACUAUUACCACUUAUGUUUAGAUUUACCACUUAUGUUUAGAUUUACCUUUAUGAAUUAUAUUGUUAGAAAUUGAGUCAUUUACUUGAAAAAGCUACAGGAGAACUGAAAUGGGUUCCAAUAAAAUGUUUUCCUAACCCCA